AGUCGGUAUCAGUCUAGGGUACCAGGAAUAGAAUACCCUAGCCUGAAUGUUUCGGGGGGGCUUUGUAGCGGCGACUGAAGAGUCAUUUUCAAAAUAAUAAUAAAUAAAAAAAAAAAAAACUAAAAUUGUAAACAAAUACCAUCGAUAUACAUAUCGGCUUUGUAAAUUGGAUUUUUUACCGAUAGUUAAAGCGAAGCUUUUACUUCGGGAGUUGCCAAAUUGUUAAGGCGCGGGAUCAGCUGCAGCAGGGAGGCUUAGGAAAGCUGCAAUAUCAGCUGUUCUGCAUUUCCGGUAACCUAAAUGGAAUGUAGGUUGUUCCAUGCUCGGUCUUUUCUAUCGAAACCCCCCAGAAGUGCAGACGCCCAAAUAAUAUCUCUCUGCAAGUGUAAAUUUUAUCAGCGCAAGAUCAGCGCAAGUGCAAAGUGUUUAUUUUUUUUUCUUAUCAAAUUCCGAGUAAGUUGCAGAUCAUGCGUAUGUUUUUGUUUUAUUUACAUGCAUACGCUUAUCUAGAUUUGCAACGGAGAUAAGGGCAGCCUAAGCCUGUGUUUGUGGGUUUUUUUUUUCUUUGGUGUGUCGCGGCUUUAUGAAAGCGCGACCUCGUUGCGGUCUUAUCAAAAUUUAUCAGUUUCGUUGCGGUCCACACCAAAACACCCCGGGAGCGCUCCUGGUGGAGGCUCCCAGUUCAGGAGCGGCUUAACCUCGAUCGGGUAAUCCGUCUCCCCCCCCAUCUUCAUCACCAUCUUCAUCAUCAUCUUCAUCUCCUAAUACAUUGGUGCCGGGAAAUUAACACUCAGUGGCCGGAAAAUUAACCGUAGGGAUGGUGGGAAGGGAAUUUGCAGACCCAACGAAUUCAAGACCCGUUAAGUGAAAGGCCGUUGACCCCACCAGCCAUGGAAUAAGGAGCAAAAGAGAAAUUAUUAAAACCGCUAGCCCAGCCGCCCAGCUCCAAACUCGUGGCGAUCAUUUUUUUCUCUCUUUUCUCAUCUACAUUUCAUCCCCCAAAUCACAUGCGUUAUAAAAUGUUUUAAUUUUAUUUUCUUUUUAGUCAAUAGUUUUAGUUAUAAAUUUAAAUUUAAAUUAAUUACAGGCUUUUAGUGAAGUGGAAAAA